UGAGGGAGGGGUUUGGAUUGGGAGGUGUGGGGCGAGUUCCCAGCAGAACAUCUGGGCGGGGUUUGGAAUGGGGCCCGAGCUGGAGAUUCCCAACAUUUACCACAUUUACCCCUUCGUACCUGAUGAAGGCAUUGCAGUGAAUGAACCGGGCAGCCAAGUCACUGAACACAAAAGGAAACCGGAAGCCAGAGUUACUGCCCGGAUGUGGUUCGUCUCCAUCAAGACUCCUCGAGAUUCGAUUGCCACGGAGCAGGGUCGGGGAGCAGGACCAUUAAGAGAGGUUAAUGUUCUUCUCUUGAGACUGGAUUAGUCCUUACCGUUCUGGAUCGACUGUGAUGAAGUGAAUCGUUGCCUCUGUCUCUGUCCCUCUUCUGCACACGCUCACUGGCCAUUCUUACACACCAUGUGUCAUCUGUCAUUUUCUAACAGCAUGAGGACCUUGCCAGACCCAGCUUCCCAGGCCUGAACUCCUCCUCAGAGCCAAGAGCUACAUAAACCUUUCCUUCACAAACGCCCCUGUCUCCAGUAUUCUGUGACAGCCACCCAAAACAGUAGUGGGGGUGGGGAGAAGAGGAGAAGAGGAGGAGGAGGAGGAGGAGGAGGAGGAGGAGUUCAUAAAACAGAUGUGCUAAGAAAUAACUGAUGGUGGGCAGCCUGCUGUCUGUGGGAGACCAUGGAAGAUGCUUCUAAAGUCUCUGAAGGCUAAGAGGAAAACCCCACUCAAAGAUCUGAGGAAGUGUGUUCCACAAGGAAGAGCAAGUGCAAAACCUUGGAGGACGGAGCAAAGCUAGUGUGCAGGACACCAAGAAGACCAAGGUGGCUAUGGAUGGCGAUGAAGAGCCUGGGCAUUCCUGAGAGAAAGACAUUUGGUCAACUGGCAGUCUGUUCACUGAAGGUCCCAACAUGUGGUACGGGAAGAAAGCCCACAGAUACAGUGUGGUACACGCCAGCAAUCCCAGAACCGAGGAAUCAGAGGCCUGAUAACCAGGAGUUCAAGGUCAUUCCUGGCUAACAAAUGAGUCUGAGAGCAGCUCGGAGAGUGCCAUCUUGGGAGCAGAGAGUAGCCCUGAGCACAUGUCAACAUCCCGAUCUUGAACUUGCCGGCCUCUGUAGCUGCCAGGGACCAGUUCAUCCUUUUCACCAAAUGAGACAAUGCAGACGUGAUUAGAAGAUGCAGUCUAAGCCAAGAGCGGCCCUCAGCAGACCCUGAAUCUAUCAUCCCCUGGACCAUGGAAUUCUGAGUGUGAGGAAUCAAUCAGAAUCCCAAUGGGAUUUUGUUUUAGUGACCCAAAUGACCUAAGACACGAUUAUGAUUACACUAAGAUUGCUGAGAGGUCAAUUUGGGACCCAGCUUCCAGACUCGAUGUGGACAAAACUCAAAACACUCCCAUCCCAGCUCUGCCAUGUAAAUAAUGCCGACUUUGGGGGCCAGCUCAUGGAAGCCUCAGCUACCUAUCUAGCACAGAAAUAAUGGCUUUUCCUUGGGGCCAUCUCCCCAGAGAAGAUUCCUCUGUGCUCUGAGUAGGAGCAUAGAACCCUGCCCCGGGGUGUCUGGAGGCUGCAACAGGAAACAGGGGACUCCACUCAUUCAGCAUUCAGGAUUCAUCUUAUCUCCAAUUCAGCCAUGCAUCAUUGCCCUGCACCAGCUGUGCCUAGGACUGCUGUUCACUCUCCAGAGACUCCCCUCUUUGACUAGGUGGAGAAGAGGUUAUCCCAGGGACCCCGUGGGGAAAGAGAACCUUACUGUUUCCUUUCAGGGCUCUCAGCCAAUCCUCAGCCUUCAUUCCGCUCUCACACUCGGGGGUCUUGACUGACACUGAGACCUGUUGCUCUCCUCUGAUGCUGGUCUUCUUCCAUCUCCGGUUUGCCAAACUAAUCACCACCUUUCUGUCUGUGCUUUAGUCUCGAGGUAGGAAUGGAAACUCUAGUCUGUUCUCGUUGUCCCCGUGUAUCCACUACCUGUCUGUCGUCUUUACAUUUCUUUACUUAAGGAGGGCAGACAAGUCCCACGGCAUGCAUGUUGAGAUCAGAGAACAACUUACAGGAAGUCAGUUCUCUCCUUCCAUUAUGUGGGUUCCAGAUAUCAGAGUCAGGGCAUCAGGCUUGGCGGCAAGCACCUCUACCCCCUGAACUGUCUCCCCAGCUCUGUCACCUGAACGGAGCUGGAGAGGAACCAAACAACCAACCUAGAAAAUCUGAAUUCCAAAACUCACUCAGACCCAAAGAUCAGAAAGACAUCUGUAGCAUGCAACUUGAAACAAGGCCCUUCCUUCCAAUGCUCCCACGACUGACUAUGCAUGUGCAAGUUAGGAAAUGGAGGCACAAGUCUUGGACUUAGGUCCUUCGCCAGUCACUAUGUGAUCUCAAGCAAGUCCAAACUAUGUGUCCCUUGACUUGUUUAUCCACCAAACGAAGUC